UAUGUGAUCGUCUCUCGCAUAUCAAUAAGCGGAGGAAAAGAAACUAACAAGGAUUCCCCUAGUAACGGCGAGUGAAGCGGGAAGAGCUCAAAUUUGAAAUCUUAAAGGGUUUCCCUUUACGAAUUGUAGUUUAAAGAAGUGUUUUCUGUUGAGGUUUUGGUAAAAGUUCUUUGGAAUAGGACAUCAUAGAGGGUGAGAAUCCCGUAUUUGACCUUUACUUUCAACUUUGUGAUACACUUUCAAAGAGUCGGAUUGUUUGGGAAUGCAGUCCAAAAUGGGUGGUAAAUUUCAUCUAAAGCUAAAUAUUGGCGAGGGACCGAUAGCGAACAAGUACCGUGAGGGAAAGAUGAAAAGAACUUUGAAAAGAGAGUUAAACAGUACGUGAAAUUGUCAAAAGGGAAGCGUUUGACACCAGUGUUGUUUUUCUGAAAAUCAAUUAAAGAACUGUUUAUGCUAAGCUGUUUAGACUUUAUCAGCUAACUGUUUAGUUUUGAGCUUUUCUUUAAUGCACUUUUCAGUUAACAAGUCAACAUCAAUUUCUUUUGCUGUAAAAAAGCUUGAGGAAGGUGGCUUGAGAUCCGUCUUAAGUGUUUAUAGCCUCUUGCCUAUGCAGUCGGAGAGAUUGAGGUACUGCAGCGUAGACUCCUUCGGGGGUUAGAUACGCUUGUGCUAAGCUAUAGCCUUGUAUAGACAACUUGUUGACUAUGCUCAGUCAUGUAGCUUACUCGCUUGUGCUAUUUUACCUACGCUUAGGAUGUUGACACACGCGCGUGCUCG
rnacentral:rRNA from 1 species